rnacentral:rRNA from 1 species
GUCGAGCGGUAACAGGCGUAGCAAUACGUGCUGACGAGCGGCAAACGGGUGAGUAACGCUUCGGAAUCUGCCCAAUGGUGGGGAAUAACCAGCCGAAAGGUUGGCUAAUACCGCAUGAGCCCUUCGGGGGAAAGCGGGGGAUCGCAAGACCUCGCGCCGAUGGAUGAGCCGAAGCCGGAUUAGCUAGUUGGUAGGGUAACGGCCUACCAAGGCGACGAUCCGUAGCUGGUCUGAGAGGACGACCAGCCACACUGGGACUGAGACACGGCCCAGACUCCUACGGGAGGCAGCAGUGGGGAAUAUUGGACAAUGGGGGAAACCCUGAUCCAGCGACGCCGCGUGUGUGAAGAAGGCCUGCGGGUUGUAAAGCACUUUUAGUGGGGAUGAAAAGCUCAGGGCUAACACCUCUGGGUCUUGACCUAACCCACAGAAAAAGCACCGGCUAACUCUGUGCCAGCAGCCGCGGUAAUACAGAGGGUGCAAGCGUUAAUCGGAAUUACUGGGCGUAAAGCGUACGUAGACGGUUGGAUAAGUCGGAUGUGAAAGCCCCGGGCUCAACCUGGGAAUGGCAUUCGAGACUGUUCAGCUAGGGUGCGGAAGAGGGAAGCGGAAUUUCCGGUGUAGCGGUGAAAUGCGUAGAUAUCGGAAGGAACACCAGUGGCGAAAGCGGCUUCCUGGUCCAGCACCGACGUUCA